rnacentral:rRNA from 1 species
GACGUAGGGUCCAAGCGUUGUCCGGAUUUACUGGGCGUAAAGAGCGCGUAGGCUGUCUGUUAAGUGUAGAGUGAAAUCUCCAGGGCUCAACCCGGAAACUGCUCUGCAUACUGGCAGACUGGAGUGAUGCAGAGGUUUGUGGAAUUCCUGGUGUAGCGGUGAAAUGCGUUGAUAUCAGGAGGAACACCCAUGGCGAAGGCAGCAAACUGGGCAUUAACUGACGCUGAGGCGCGAAAGCGUGGGUAGCAAACAGG